rnacentral:rRNA from 1 species
UAGGGAAUCUUCGGCAAUGGACGAAAGUCUGACCGAGCAACGCCGCGUGAGUGAAGAAGGUUUUCGGAUCGUAAAACUCUGUUGUUAGAGAAGAACAAGGACGUUAGUAACUGAACGUCCCCUGACGGUAUCUAACCAGAAAGCCACGGCUAACUACGUGCCAGCAGCCGCGGUAAUACGUAGGUGGCAAGCGUUGUCCGGAUUUAUUGGGCGUAAAGCGAGCGCAGGCGGUUUCUUAAGUCUGAUGUGAAAGCCCCCGGCUCAACCGGGGAGGGUCAUUGGAAACUGGGAGACUUGAGUGCAGAAGAGGAGAGUGGAAUUCCAAGUGUAGCGGUGAAAUGCGUAGGGAUAUGGAGGAACACCAGUGGCGAAGGCGGCUCUCUGGUCUGUAACUGACGCUGAGGCUCGAAAGCGUGGGGAGCAAACAGG